rnacentral:rRNA from 1 species
UACGGAGGGAGCUAGCGUUAUUCGGAAUUACUGGGCGUAAAGCGCACGUAGGCGGCUUGUAAGUUAGAGGUGAAAGCCUGGAGCUCAACUCCAGAAUUGCCUUUAAGACUGCAUCGCUUUGAAUCCAGGAGAGGUGAGUGGAAUUCCGAGUGUAGAGGUGAAAUUCGUAGAUAUUCGGAAGAAACACCAGUGGCGAAGGGCGG